AGCACCAAGAGUUCCAUUCUCUGUAUAGUCUUUGCCUCAAACACAAAUCUAGAAUCAGCAACUUGUAGGUCUAACAAAAGGGGAACUUGGGUCUCCUCCACUUUAGCAGCAAUGGAAAGACAGGCAACAGCAGCAAGCUGACUCAUCCAAGGCUUAUCUUUCUGAAAGCACCAUCCAGACACAAACCUAUCAAAAUAGUUCACAGCUAAAACAGCAGUGGUAGCAGUAAAACCAUAGUAAGCAAUGACCCUCAACA
rnacentral:misc_RNA from 1 species